AAAACGGUGUCACUCGACACCAUUGAAUUUUGUGUAGCAAAUACACU
rfam:Helianthus annuus linkage group 9, whole genome shotgun sequence.